CACAGCUGUUUUCAGAUCUCAAAUAAAGGCCGGUCCCACUUAUGUGUGCACUGUCUGUCACAAGGCGUCAUUUCCAAACCAAGUACAACUCUGUAAAAGAUCAGCGUACACUAAAAAUGAAGAUAUGGUUUCAACAUGCCUGACUGGAAAGUAUGUUCAUGUUUGUAAUGAUGUCUGCACAAAUGAACAACAGUGUAAGGUGCCUGAUGAGAGAAAGAAAGAGUGGAUUUGUCACACAUGUCAUAACCAUCUUAAGAAAGGAGCCAUGCCACACCUUGCUGUAGCCAAUAACUUAGAACUUGCUGACAUUCCAGCUGAACUGUCUGAUCUGAACAUACUGGAGAGACAUCUCAUUGCAAAGUGCAUCCCAUUCGCUAAGAUUGUUCCUCUUCCCAAAGGCAGACAGAGAGCAAUACACGGUAAUGUUGUGUGUGUCCCAUCUGAGGUCCAGGAAACAGUUGAUGCUUUACCCAGAGUAAGAAGUGAGUCCCAGGUCCUGAGAGUGAAACUGAAGAGACGCUUGUGUUACAAAGGUCAUCAGAUGUUCCAGACUGUAACCUGGUCUAAACUUGUGCAGGCUCUGUUUAAACUCAAACACAUUCAUCCAGAGUAUGAGGACAUAGUUAUAAGAGAUGAUCCUGAGUUAUGUGAUCCAACACUUCCAGAUGAUGAUGAUGAUGAUGGUGAGUGUGAAACAAUGGAUGAUGCUGAAUAUGGGGAAGAUGAUCUCAUGCAAAUAGACAGGUGUGAAAAUAGUGCACUACACGAAAAUGAUCCUGAACAUGAGCAACAACACACUGACUUGCUGCCACAUGAUGAUGAUCAACCUGAAGAGCAGAGCGUUGACACAGAACAGGAAGGUGACAUGCCUAACGGAGGUCUGGCUUUAGAAUCGUGUCUGCAGCCGCCUGAUGUUGCUGAAGAGAUUUUAUGUUUCAGUGAAGGGAUCUACUCUGUUGCUCCAGCAGAAAGAAACAAUCCAGUAAGCUUCUUUAAAACACCUAAUCUGGAGGCCAUGGCUUUCCCCGUUCAGUUCCCUACUGGUCAGAACACUCUGGAUGCAAAAAGACCCAUUAAACUAACACCAAGCAAAUAUUUUAAAUCAAGGCUUUUCUGUAUUGAUGAACGCUUUGCCAGAGACACAAACUAUUUGUUUUUUGCACAGUUUGUGACUGAAAUCCACUUGGCUACUUCCAGCAUGACCAUACAGUUACGCAAAGGAAAACCUGUGACCAGAGAUGGACGCAGAAUAACAUCUAGAAUGUUACGAGAUAAACGAGAGGUUGAGAAACUGGUAAGGAACAAAGAUGCUAUCAGAUUCAUGCAGCCACUCAGAGGAACACCAGCAUACUGGGAGAAAACAACCAAAGACCUUUUUGCCAUGAUCAGACAGUUGGGAACUCCUACGUUCUUUUGCACAUUCUCAGCAGCAGAAAUGCGUUGGCCUGAAGUGAUUGAGGCAAUAAAACAUCAGCAGGGUGAAGAAGUCAACUUUGAUGAGCUGAGCUGGACAGAAAAAACAGACAUACUGAGAAGCAAUCCUGUCACAGUGAUGCGCAUGUUUGAUAAACGUGUUGAAGCCUUGUUCAGAGAUUUGAUCUUAUCAAACGCUGUCCUUGGGAGAGUCGUGGAUCAUUUCAUAAGACUUGAGUUUCAGAAUCGUGGUUCCCCUCAUAUACACUGUCUUCUGUGGGUAGAAGGUGCACCUGUGUUUGAAAAAGAUGAUGAUCGAACAGUGUGUAAUUUUGUGUCCAAGUACAUGACGGCUCAGCUUCCUGACCAACACACACAACCUGAACUGUACAAGAAAGUCACAGAAGUGCAAGUACACAGCAGAAACCACUCAAGGUCAUGUUUCAAAUACAUCGGAGCUGAUUGCCGUUUUGGGUUUCCUAAGCCACCAGCCAACAGGACAAUGAUAGUAAGACCAAAAGAAAGAGGAGAUGAGUCAGUGGCACUGGAAGAAGCAAAGAAUAAACUCAGACCGUUGAAUAGACUACUGAAUGAACCUGAAGUCGCCUCCCUGAGUUUAGAGCAGCUCCUCACUCGAUGUGAUUUAACAAUGACAGAGUAUGAACGAUGUCUGUGUUUGGUGAUGAAAUCCAGCAAAGUGAUACUGAAGCGUGAUCCAAAGGACUGCUGGGUAAACGCAUAUAAUCCACAUCUGCUGGAAGCCUGGGAUGGAAACUUAGAUCUGUCGUACAUCUUAAACCCUGGAAGUGUUGUGGUGUACCUGUGUUCAUACAUGUGUAAGAACGAGAGUGGACUGUCCGAGUACCUGAAAACAGUCAUUCAGAACUCCAACACAGAAAGCGUCAACGAAUGUGAUGAAAUGAGGGCAGUCAUGCAGGCAUAUUCAAAAAAGAGAGAGAUCAGCGCUCAGGAGUGUGUGGCUCGUGCAUGUGGCAUCAACAUGAAAAAGUGUUCCCGUGGUUUCGUCUUCAUACCGACUGAUGACAACGCAGUGAAAAUGAG
rnacentral:lncRNA from 1 species